rnacentral:rRNA from 1 species
AACGAACGCUGGCGGCAGGCCUAACACAUGCAAGUCGAGCGAAGCCUUCGGGCUUAGCGGCGGACGGGUGAGUAACGCGUGGGAACGUGCCCUUUGGUACGGAAUAGCCCCGGGAAACUGGGAGUAAUACCGUAUGUGCCCUUCGGGGGAAAGAUUUAUCGCCAAAGGAUUGGCCCGCGUUGGAUUAGGUAGUUGGUGGGGGAAUGGCCUACCAAGCCGACGAUCCAUAGCUGGUUUGAGAGGAUGAUCAGCCACACUGGGACUGAGACACGGCCCAGACUCCUACGGGAGGCAGCAGUGGGGAAUCUUAGACAAUGGGGGAAACCCUGAUCUAGCCAUGCCGCGUGAUCGAUGAAGGCCUUAGGGUUGUAAAGAUCUUUCAGUGGGGAAGAUAAUGACUGUACCCACAGAAGAAGCCCCGGCUAACUCCGUGCCAGCCGCCGCAGUAACAC